rnacentral:lncRNA from 1 species
ACAAGAACUGGCAUAUUCCUGACUUGGUACAGGCAUUUUCAAAUGUAGAAAAUGGUGGAUUAAACCUGGUUUUAUAGCGCUAACCCUCUCACUUUGCCGACAGUCUCAUCAAAUUCCGUUAUAUUUACAUUGAUGCGUUAACUAAACAGACACAAUACAUAAAAUAGUCAAAAUAUGGGUACAUCAGUCAUCAUCGUAUAACAAUUUUAAAAGGAACAAUUUA